ACACAGCUGUCUAACCCAAGCUGUGUCAAAGACCACAAGUUAGAUUAUUUUAAGCUGGGGGCUUCUUUGAAAUCCCACCACUCGGAGUGUGUGUGAAUCUCCUCCAGCUUGGCCAGCCUUACCACUCUGUCAGCCUCCAGGCCCCUUUGAACCUCCAUUAAUGCCUUUUUCCUAGAGUUAAUCACUCACACAUGUGACUGCUUAUAUGAGCUUCCAGUUCAUUAUCAAGUAUCUCAUCUCAUCCAAGGUCAGAGGACGUCUUCAGAAUGGAACAAAUCAUUUGUUGCUUAAUGCUUUAUUUUCAAAGCUAGAAUGUAAAACGCCCAGUUAACAAAAAGGCACCAGCAAGCA